rnacentral:lncRNA from 1 species
GCGUGGUGGAAGCCAUGUUCGCAGCUUUGGGUCUGCGGAAAGCACCGUGAGAUGGGUUUUCAAAACCCCUUCUCAAGGUGGUUUUGAACCCAAAAAUGAAGUGCAAGGACCACUGGUCAUUUCUGAAAAUGAAGCCCCAGCUUUUUGGGCACAUUCUCCUUAAAGAAAGAAAGAAAAAAAAAAAAAAAAAGCAAACCCAAAAACUGUACCAGCAAACCGUGAUCUAAAGCAUGCUUUGAAGCCAUGUCAGCCAAACUGUUCCUGACAGAUUUAAAAUAAUUCAAAUAUUCCUUUCAUUUAGGCAAAAUAUUUUUCUCCCAUUCAGGUGGGUGCCUGCUGUCACCUCGGCUGUAGCCCUGGUCCUAUACGCUCUGCUCUUACUGCUCCUUUACAUCAUGCUCAGCAGGAAAAUAGCCGCUCCUGCAGCAAGGAGGUGAGCAGCCGUCCUGCAGCACAGCUCCAGCAGCCGUCGACCUCUUCAGCUGGAGGGGAAGGGGCACAACGACCGGCCUACGCAGGUGGUGACGUGCCCUGUUCGGAUGGGAGCAGCGAGACGUCCUCGGAGACCUCGGAGGAGUCGGAGAGCAGCCCCUCCAGCCCGCAGGUACCCAGCCCCCUGCCACCGCCAGGGCAUUUUUGCCCAAAACCACCACAACCGCGGCAGGGAGGGUGCCUCACACCAUGUCCAGGGGCUCCUGGCCCUGCUCGAGACCCCCUGAGCAGGAAAAUG